UAGGGAAUCUUCGGCAAUGGACGAAAGUCUGACCGAGCAACGCCGCGUGAGUGAAGAAGGUUUUCGGAUCGUAAAACUCUGUUGUUAGAGAAGAACAAGGACGUUAGUAACUGAACGUCCCCUGACGGUAUCUAACCAGAAAGCCACGGCUAACUACGUGCCAGCAGCCGCGGUAAUACGUAGGUGGCAAGCGUUGUCCGGAUUUAUUGGGCGUAAAGCGAGCGCAGGCGGUUUCUUAAGUCUGAUGUGAAAGCCCCCGGCUCAACCGGGGAGGGUCAUUGGAAACUGGGAGACUUGAGUGCAGAAGAGGAGAGUGGAAUUCCAUGUGUAGCGGUGAGAUGCGUAGAUAUAUGGAGGAACACCAGUGGCGAAGGCGGCUCUCUGGUCUGUAACUGACGCUGAGGCUCGGAAGCGUGGGGAGCAAACAGG
rnacentral:rRNA from 1 species